CAAAUACUCCCUCCGUCCGAAAAUACUUGUCAUCAAAAUGGACAAAAAGGGAUGUAUUUAGAACUAAAAUACAUCUAGAUACAUCCCUUUUUAUUUAUUUUGAUGACAAGUAUUUCCGGACGGAGGGAGUACCAA
rnacentral:pre_miRNA from 1 species